rnacentral:rRNA from 1 species
UAGGGAAUCUUCCACAAUGGACGAAAGUCUGAUGGAGCAACGCCGCGUGAGUGAUGAAGGGUUUCGGCUCGUAAAACUCUGUUGUUGGAGAAGAACAGGUGAUAGAGUAACUGUUAUCAUCUUGACGGUAUCCAACCAGAAAGCCACGGCUAACUACGUGCCAGCAGCCGCGGUAAUACGUAGGUGGCAAGCGUUGUCCGGAUUUAUUGGGCGUAAAGCGAGCGCAGGCGGUUUUUUAGGUCUGAUGUGAAAGCCUUCGGCUUAACCGGAGAAGGGCAUCGGAAACCGGGAGACUUGAGUGCAGAAGAGGACAGUGGAACUCCAUGUGUAGCGGUGAAAUGCGUAGAUAUAUGGAAGAACACCAGUGGCGAAGGCGGCUGUCUGGUCUGUAACUGACGCUGAGGCUCGAAAGCAUGGGUAGCGAACAGGAUUAGAUACCCUGGUAGUCCAUGCCGUAAACGAUGAGUGCUAAGUGUUAGAGGGUUUCCGCCCUUCAGUGCUGCAGCUAACGCAUUAAGCACUCCGCCUGGGGGAGUACGACCGCAAGGUUGAAAC